UACGUAGGGUGCAAGCGUUAAUCGGAAUUACUGGGCGUAAAGCGCGUGUAGGCGGCCCUGCAAGUCGGGUGUGAAAUCCCACGGCUCAACCGUGGAAGUGCACUCGAAACUGCAGGGCUAGAGUCCUGGAGAGGAAGGUGGAAUGCUUGGUGUAGAGGUGAAAUUCGUAGAUAUCAAGCGGAACACCGGUGGCGAAGGCGGCCUUCUGGACAGUGACUGACGCUGAGACGCGAAAGCGUGGGGAGCAAACAGG
rnacentral:rRNA from 1 species